rnacentral:lncRNA from 1 species
GUUAAGUAGGGUCUGGCCUGGAAUACUCUUCUAGAUGAAAAUAGCCCAACCAUGAGCCACCUUCUCAGCAGAUGAGAUGAAAUUAAAGCUCUUCACCUCCUCAAGGCCCAGAGACUAUCACAAAAGAGGUGGUCUUGAAUGCAAGUUUCUGAUAACUUUGGAGAUUGUGACAUCAGAGUAGAGGAAAAAAAUUCAGAACUCAUGGAGAGUUGAAAUGUUCAUGAAUAUUAAACAGAACAAGGAUUAAGUGCAUGCAUUGAACUAUUAGAAGACUGAAGUAAUCUUUUUUUCUUUUUUUGAGUCGAGGUCUCACUCGGUCCCCCAGGCUGGAGUCCAGUGGUGUGAUCUCAGAUGAAUUACAGAUGCACGCCACCAAGCCUGGCUAAUUUUUGUAUUUUUAGU